rnacentral:rRNA from 1 species
AUUGAACGCUGGCGGCAGGCUUAACACAUGCAAGUCGAGCGGUAACAGAGAUAGCUUGCUAUCUGCUGACGAGCGGCGGACGGGUGAGUAACGCGUAGGAAACUACCCAGUAGUGGGGGACAACAGUUGGAAACGACUGCUAAUACCGCAUACGCUCUACGGAGGAAAGGGGGCUUCGGCUCUCGCUAUUGGAUGUGCCUGCGUGAGAUUAGCUAGUUGGUGAGGUAAGAGCUCACCAAGGCGACGAUCUCUAGCUGGUCUGAGAGGAUGAUCAGCCACACUGGGACUGAGACACGGCCCAGACUCCUACGGGAGGCAGCAGUGGGGAAUAUUGGACAAUGGGCGAAAGCCUGAUCCAGCCAUGCCGCGUGUGUGAAGAAGGCUUUCGGGUUGUAAAGCACUUUCAUCAGUGAGGAAAGCUUGUUGGUUAAUACCCAUCAAGUGUGACGUUAACUGAAGAAGAAGCACCG